AACUAGUCUGUGAUAACGUGGACUAUUUUACAUGUAAAACAUGUUGCAUUACGUUCGUCUUGCGUUGUAAAAACAUUCGCAUAUGAAUGCUGUAAAUUGGGAUGAAGGCCGCGGAGAGUUGCUACGGCUUGAACAAAAAGUCGAUAGAUUUGUCGCUAGGUGUUUUUUUUUUUUUUUUUGCCAAAAAAGUCGCUAAAGGGGUCUGAAAAGUGGCUGAGUUGGGAACACUGUUCUGCACUGACAGCUAGAUCAACGGCAGGAUAAGCUCCACCUCUCUCCAAGCAAAAAAGAAAAUACACAGGGAGAGGGAAUGCGGGGUUUUUCAAUUAAUACACAUUCUAUAUGAAAAGCAAUAAAAUACCCUGAGCACUCAAAUGAUGCCGUCUGUGUUUUUUUCUUGAAAACAAUUAGUGGCCCCCUUCCGAUCUCUCCCUGUGUGGAGAAACGCUUGUUUAAAUGAUGCGUGAGGACUGCAGAUGUGUCCAGAGCGAUAAACUGUAACGUCUGUAAUGUAAGACGCCUGAGACGGUGCUACAGGGAGACAGGAAGGACAGCUGAUCGUCCUCGCAGUGGAACAUUACAUGUAAGCGUGUGUGUCCCCCAGAUGUGAUCAAGAACUUGCAAAUGUGUUGGUGGAAGAGCAGGGGAACAUGUCACAACGAGAACUGACCAAUCUGGUGCAGUCCAUGAGGAUGAGAUGCACUGGAGCAUCUUACUUAAAGCAGCUCGAGAACACCGGAUACUGACCGUUCCUUCUGAUAUUCCUUUGGAAGCGUGGUUUCUGUAUCUGUCCUGUUGAAGGAGGCGUGGUUUCUGUAUCUGUCCUGUUGAAGGAGGCGUGGUUUCUGUAUCUGUCCUGUUGAAGGAGGCGUGGUUUCUGUAUCUGUCCUGUUGAAGGAGGCGUGGCUUCUGUAUCUGUCCUGUUGAAGGAGGUGUGGUUUCUGUAUCUGUCCUGUUGAAGGAGGUGUGGUUUCUGUAUCUGUCCUGUUGAAGGAGGUGUGGCUUCUGUAUCUGUCCUGUUGAAGGAGGUGUGGCCUCUGUGCUUGUCCUGUUGAAGGAGGCGUGGCCUCUCUUCUUGUCCUGUUCAGCAACAGACAGCCCAAAAGACAAUCAGUAUUUUUAUGACAGAUCCGUGCUGAUGUUGUUCUGCUUCAGAAGGUUUGUUUUUAUUUCCUUUGCUGAUCGAGCAUUCUUCUUCAUGUGUCUUUGCCUGUGGGGCAUUUUAGUCUAAAGAAUUUCUUGUUGAGUGGAAUGAAUAGACGCUGAACGCAGCGAUGAAGCAGAAAUAGGAAGGCCCUUUCCUUCCGUGACUGUCUGCAUGUCUGUAAGUUGUUGUGCGUUUUGUUCCCGUGAUGAUGCCCCGCAGCAUGCACGUUUGAGGUUUAAAGGGAUUUUACUAGCCGCGUUUGCAUCGUAUGUCAUGAAACACACGUUCUCUCAGAUCGCUGAAUGAAAUGUGCGAUAUGCAUGAAUAGUGUGUGUUUGUGUGUGUCGAGCACUUAUGCAGACACGACGCGUCACGAGGCCUGCUUUGUGAGACGUCUUAAAUGCACAUACACGUGUGUGUGUGUCUGUGUGUGGGUGUGUGUGCUUGUGUUUCUGCGUGUUAAUGAGUGGAAGAUGGAGGAAGGAGAGGGGGAUGGCGGAAUGGGAUGGAUACAGCUGGAGUGAGAGAGAGAAAGGGAGAGUUUGGUGAAAAGGUAACCAUGGUAACUCUCUUUGCUAAGGCCUGAAUUGACAGAGAGGAGAGCAGGAGAA
ensembl:lncRNA